rnacentral:rRNA from 1 species
UACGUAGGGUGCGAGCGUUAAUCGGAAUUACUGGGCGUAAAGCGUGCGCAGGCGGUUUUGUAAGUCUGACGUGAAAUCCCCGGGCUUAACCUGGGAAUUGCGUUGGAGACUGCAAGGCUGGGGUCUGGCAGAGGGGGGUAGAAUUCCACGUGUAGCAGUGAAAUGCGUAGAGAUGUGGAGGAACACCGAUGGCGAAGGCAGCCCCCUGGGUCAAGACUGACGCUCAUGCACGAAAGCGUGGGGAGCAAACAGG